AUCGUUUCUUGGCCUUUUGGGUAAGAUCAAGUGUAGUGUCUGUUCUUAGCAGAAAAAGACCUGAGAAUUAGUAGAAUAGAUUGGAAGAUACAGAAACAGCUCCAGAUGUACUCAACUACCCCAU
rnacentral:snRNA from 1 species